AAAUGCCUCCAUGAGAUCCAGCUGAAAGGCAUUUUCUUAUUUAGUGAUCUAUGACAAAGAGCCCAGUCCUUGGUGGGUGUUGCCAUCCCUGGGCUAGUGGUUUG
rnacentral:miRNA from 1 species